rfam:Salmo salar isolate Sally breed double haploid chromosome ssa16, whole genome shotgun sequence.
UGCAUUCGCUACUGUAAGUCGCUCUGGAUAAGAGCGUCUGCUAAAUGACAAAUU